GAACAGUGGGUUAACUGCCUUAUUCAGGGGCAGAACAACAGAUUUUCACUUUGUCAGCUUGGGGAUUUGAUCUUGCAACCUUGCAGUUACAAAUCCAACUCUCUAACCACUAGGCUACCCACCUCUCUAACCACUAGGCUACCCACCUCUCUAACCACUAGGCUACCUACCUCUCUAACCACUAGGCUACCUACCUCUCUAACCACUAGGCUACCCACCUCUCUAACCACUAGGCUACCUACCUCUCUAACCACUAGGCUACCUACCUCUCUAACCACUAGGCUACCUACCUCUCUAACCACUAGGCUACCUACCUCUCUAACCACUAGGCUACCCACCUCUCUAACCACUAGGCUACCUACCUCUCUAACCACUAGGCUACCUACCGCUCUAGCCACUAGGCUACCCACCUCUCUAACCACUAGGCUACCUACCUCUCUAACCACUAGGCUACCUACCUCUCUAACCACUAGGCUACCUACCUCUCUAACCACUAGGCUACCUACCUCUCUAACCACUAGGCUACCUACUUCUCUAACCACUAGGCUACCUACCUCUCUAACCACUAGGCUACCCACCUCUCUAACCACUAGGCUACCUACCUCUCUAACCACUAGGCUACCUACCUCUCUAACCACUAGGCUACCCACCUCUCUAACCACUAGGCUACCCACCUCUCCAACCACUAGGCUACCUACCUCUCUAACCACUAGGCUACCUACCGCUCUAGCCACUAGGCUACCUACCUCUCUAACCACUAGGCUACCUACCUCUCUAACCACUAGGCUACCUACCUCUCUAACCACUAGGCUACCUACCUCUCUAACCACUAGGCUACCUACUUCUCUAACCACUAGGCUACCUACCUCUCUAACCACUAGGCUACCCACCUCUCUAACCACUAGGCUACCUACCUCUCUAACCACUUGGCUACCUACUUCUCUAACCACUAGGCUACCUACCUCUCUAACCACUAGGCUACCCACCUCUCUAACCACUAGGCUACCUACCUCUCUAACCACUAGGCUACCUACCUCUCUAACCACUAGGCUACCCACCUCUCUAACCACUAGGCUACCUACCUCUCUAACCACUAGGCUACCUACUUCUCUAACCACUAGGCUACCUACCUCUCUAACCACUAGGCUACCCACCUCUCUAACCACUAGGCUACCUACCUCUCUAACCACUAGGCUACCUACCUCUCUAACCACUAGGCUACCUACCUCUCUAACCACUAGGCUACCCACCUCUCUAACCACUAGGCUACCUACCUCUCUAACCACUAGGCUACCUACCUCUCUAACCACUAGGCUACCUACCUCUCUAACCACUAGGCUACCCACCUCUCUAACCACUAGGCUACCUACCUCUCUAACCACUAGGCUACCUACCUCUCUAACCACUAGGCUACCUACCUCUCUAACCACUAGGCUACCUACCUCUCUAACCACUAGGCUACCUACCUCUCUAACCACUAGGCUACCUACCUCUCUAACCACUAGGCUACCCACCUCUCCACAGGAUGUGUAA
ensembl:lncRNA